AUGGGACUAUAGGUGUGUGCUACCACUGGCUGGUUCAUGCUUUUCCUUUUUGUGGUAAAUUUAUAUUGUGUGAAAUAUACUAUUUUAGCAAUUUUAGGUCUAUGUGAGUUCAAGGCCAGCCUGGUCUACAGAGCAAAUGCCAGGACAGGCUCCAAAGCAACACAGAGAAACCCUGUCUUGAAAAACCAAAAGAAAAAAAAAGAUUAAGAGGUGGUGGUGUCGGCACCCAGCUUUAGUCUCAGUAGUCAGGAGGCAGAGGCUGGCGGAUCUCUUUGAGUUCAAGGUCACGCCCAGUGACAGAGACCAUUUCGGCUGCAGGGCUCUCAGCUCCAGCACCAUGUCUGUCUUCAUGCCAUCAUGUCACUAUGGUGAUAAUGAACUGAACUGAAAACGUAAGCUGCCCCAACUAAACGUUUUUCAUUUAUAAGAGUUGCCGUGGUCCUGGUGUCUCUUCACGGCAAUAGAAACCCUAACUAAGACAGACGAUGACACAGGAGUGGAGUGUUGCUGAUAGGUCCGACCAGGCUUUCUUUUGAAUGAAUAUAAACCCUGGGGCUGAAGAUUAGAACAGCAGCUGAAUGCUUUAAGUGCUGCUGAAUGGGGCCAUCCUAGUAGGAACACGGAAGAUAGAUGCUUACUGUGAUUUGCACUGUGGGUGCCUGCAUCAAGAGGUUUCAGAGAAGAAUAAUAUUAAUAUAUGGCCUAGAAAUCGUUCUUGUGAUAUUUCCGUAAGGAAUAUGACUGCUUUUUGCCCUUGUCCAAAGAAUUUGCCUGAGGCUAAAACAAAGAGAUUUGGAUUAAUUCUAUUGGCAAAGGAAAUCUCAAAACAGCCCUUAUAGACUUGGUCCUGUGGUUACCAGUGUUCAUGCUUAUAAAGAUUUAUAAUGAAAUGGAGCAAGCUGAGCAAAUAAAAAUAUAAAAUGUGCAGAUUGAGAAAAGGGGCACCAGGAAGUGGAAUGGAAUUAAGUCCUGUGUUCGAGGAGAUAAACAUUAAGAAAUGGACUAAGGGGACUGGUGACCUCCGGGCAACACCCCACCCAGCUAAGUUUCCAGUUUAUGAAAUGGGAUUAAAAGAAAGCUUGAAGCCAGAUGUGGUGGUGCACGCCUUUAGCCCCAGCACUUGGAAGGCAAAGGCUGGUGGAUCUCUGAGUUUGAGUGGUGGAUCUCUGAGUUCGAGGUCAGCCUGGGCUACAGAACAAGUUCUAGAACUUAGGCAGUGAAGGAAACCAUGGAAACAGAAAGCUGGUUAAGAUGUAGCUGUAAGAGGGGCCGUGUCCCAACCCCAGUAAGCAGCAACUGCUUACUGGCCACGUGGUUCUAGAGCUAAGGAUAAAAGAAAAGGCAUAUGUCAGGAGUAUCCCAGAAUGGAGGCCUAGAGAGACUAUUGCAUGAAGCUGUUGUAAAGUUGAAGCCUAGAUCGCCUUGGAGACCCCAAGAUGUUGGAGAUGCCAGAGCCGUGGGACACCUGCCGAGGAUUGCUGUCAACAGGGAGUGGAACCAGCCCUAGAGAGAGAUGUUUGCUGCACUCAAAGCUGAAAAGACUCCGAUGUGGAUGGCCCUGCUGGGACACCCCUUGGGGGAGGGGGUGAGAAGAUGCAGCACCAAGGACUCAGGCCCUGGGAGUCGGUGAUUACAUUUAAGAGACUGCAUGAAUCUCAGAAGAGACUUUGAACUGUGGACUUCAAAGCAUUGCUGAGACUGUGAUAGACCAUGGGGACUUUUGAAGUUGGACUAAAUGCAUUUUUGCAUUACAAUAUGGCUAUAAGCCUUUGGGGGCCAGGGAAUAGACUGUAGUGGUCUGAGAGAAAACGGCCCCUAAAAGAAGUGACAUUAUUAGGAGGUGUGAUCUUGUUGGAAUAGGUAUGGCCCUGUUGGACAAGCGUGUCACUGUGGAGGUGGUCUUUGAGGUCUCAUGUAUGCUCAAGCCACACCCAGUGUCUCAGACCACUUCCUGUUGCUUGCAUUUCAAAGUGUAGCCAGCACCAAGUCUGCCUGUGCGCUGCCAUGUCCCGCCAUGGUGAUGAUGGACUAACCCUCUGAAAAUGUAAGCCACCCCAAUUAAAUGUUUUUCCUUUGUAA